UAGACGUGGUGAAGGAUUGAGUG
rnacentral:miRNA from 1 species